ACUCUCAAAAUUAGUGGAUGUAUCAUCGUUGUUGAUAGAUUUAUCGGAGAGCGACUCCGAACCACCAGAAAAGAUAGAGAAAUCAAAAGAAUGGUGAUGAUGGCUGCUACCGCCGUGGAGGGUGCGGCCUCGACGGCUCUGCGAGCGGUGCUCCACCGAGUCCGCCAGGCUGCUGAGAGAUCAGGCCGCAUAGCCGAUGAUGUGAGGGUGGUUGCAGUGAGCAAAACCAAGCCCAUCUCUCUCAUCCGCCAAGUCUACGACUCUGGUCAUCGCUGUUUCGGCGAGAACUAUGUCCAAGAGAUCAUAGAAAAAGCACCUCGGCUUCCUGAGGACAUUGAGUGGCAUUUUGUUGGGCAUUUGCAGAGCAAUAAAGUGAAAUCACUUUUGGUUGCAGUCCCAAAUCUUGCAAUGGUUGAGGGUGUAGAUAAUGUGAAGGUUGCAAAUCAGCUUGAUCGUGUAGUCUCAACCAUAGGAAGAAAUCCUUUGAAGGUUUUGGUCCAAGUGAAUACAAGUGGAGAAGAAUCAAAAUCUGGUGUUGAUCCAUCAGGUUGCGUGGAGCUUGUAAAGCAUGUUAAGCGUGGUUGCCCAAACCUUGAAUUCUCUGGCUUAAUGACAAUAGGAAUGCCUGACUAUUCAUCAACUCCGGAGAACUUCAGGUUGUUGUCAAACUGUAGAAUUGAGGUCUGCAAGGUCAUUGGAAUGGCAGAGAACCAAUGUGAACUCUCAAUGGGCAUGUCUGGUGACUUUGAGGAAGCGGUUUUGUUGUUCUGAUAGAAAACUUGGCUCCUGAACUGUCCAUAAGCUGCCUCAUACAGCUUUCCCUAUGAACUUGAAGCCCCCUCUCUCUAAAUUUGAAUUAAAAACAUCCCCUCAUACACUUCACAAUCGUAUUCUACAAAUUCUACUGAAAAAUAGAUUGAAAUGGGCAGUACCAAUGUCAGAAUUGGAUCAACCAUAUUUGGACCGAGAGAGUACCCGAAGAAAAAUUAGUAACCUUUGUGUAUCAUUUUAUCCGAGUACAGAUUGAAUUAUAAUGAUUAAUAUCUUACAACAAAUGAAUAACCAUAGUUCUUUGAAAUUUUGAGAGAUGGAUGCAAUUUAUGCACUUCCUCAUUAAAUGUACAUAAUUCAAUAUGAAAGUGAAUAUUUUUCAGAUUUUACAAGCCUCUGAUCUGGUAUGGGGAUGUAUGCAAAUUUUCUUUUUAACCAA